GGCUCGUUGGUCUAGGGCUAUGAUUCCUGCUUUGGGUGCAGGAGGUCCCGGGUUCAAAUCCCGGACGAGCCC
rnacentral:tRNA from 1 species